rnacentral:lncRNA from 1 species
AGAAAAACAAUGCAAAUAACAAAUAGAAAAUUCUAAGAAUUCAUAAUGAAAGACAUGAUAUAAUUUCAAGAAAUCAAGGAAUCAAGAAAAAUGUGAAUGGAAAUUCCUAUAUUUUAAUAUACAAGUAGGUAAUUGAAAUCGAAGGUUGAAUUAAAAUUGACAAAACUUCAUUGGACACUCUCAAACUCUCAAGUGUUUAGGGUUUGUAUUUACGCUCAGCACCCAUGCAGACAAACACUACCAUAUGCUUAGCAAGACUCUAAUAUUCACAACAACCGAAAAAAACAUGCAAUCAAAGAUCAAAAGGACUUCAUAAGGGAUGUAAUGAGGCUAAGGUAAAGGCAGGUAAAAGGGGAAAAGAGGCUUAAAACCAUAAAAAAACAAAGGAGCAAUGGUGGGUAGGUCUAAAAACAAGUGUAAGUAUUAUGACAAUUCAACUACUCUUUUUAUUUCAAGAUAUAUUUUUGUUCAUAUAGUAGACAGUCAAUCCAAUGUAUUAGAGGAUCCACUAUUAUUUUCUUUAUUUUGCUUUGUUUUUCUUUUUCUUGUUGUAUUCUUUUUUUUUUCUAUCCAUUUUUUUAUAUCCAUUUUUUUUUCUUUUUUCCUUUUUUUUUAAAAAAAAAACUGAAGAGGUAAACUAUGAAAGUGACAUACACCCCCACACUUAUUCAAAAACCUAUUCCCAAAUAAUUUCAAAGCUCUUUUAUCUUCUAAGGUAGGGACAAACAUGGUUUUUCUGUUUUGAGGCUUGUAAUGAGGGUUAAAAAUAAGAAAAAGGCUAUAGGCUCAAGGGGCUAACAAAUGGAUUAUCAUAAAGGUAGGCUAAUAUGGCUAGUGGGUUAAUUUAAACAAAGAAUGCCUCUAUCAUAUCAAUUCAUACAUGUAAAUCACAAUUGUAAAAUAAAGAAUCAAGCUAAGUUCUAGGGUAUAAGCAAACAUGAGUGAAAACACACUAAAAAGAGUAUUAAAUGAUAUAUCAAUUAAGGCUCAAAACUCACUUGGGACAUUCUAUCAAAAGAUUCAACCCAAAAUUUCUCAUAACCAACUUAUUUAUCAAUUUUUAAGAAAAUCCAAACAACAAAGAUCAAGAAACCAAGAUUUUCAAGAAUUAUAAAACAUGUCAGCCAUUAGACAAUCCUAAAAAAGCUCAUUUAUUUUAACAGAAGCAAAAAGAAAUUCAAACAAUUAAAAGAAAA